CGCGAACGGGUGAGUAACACGUGGGUAACCUGCCCCGAUGACUGGGACAACCCGGGGAAACCCGGGCUAAUACCGGAUGUGGUGCACACACUUAAGUGCGUGUAUCAAAGGUAGCUUCGGCUUCCGCAUCGGGAGGGGCCCGCGGCCCAUUAGCUUGUUGGUGAGGUAACGGCUCACCAAGGCUGCGAUGGGUAGCUGGUCUGAGAGGACGAUCAGCCACACUGGGACUGAGACACGGCCCAGACUCCUACGGGAGGCAGCAGUGGGGAAUCUUGCGCAAUGCGCGAAAGCGUGACGCAGCAACGCCGCGUGAGGGAAGACGGCCUUCGGGUUGUAAACCUCUUUCAGUGGGGACGAAGGCCGGCCGGUGAAUAGCCGUGUCGGUUGACGGUACCUUCAGAAGAAGCUCCGGCUAACUACGUGCCAGCCGCCGCGG
rnacentral:rRNA from 1 species